AGAGUUUGAUCCUGGCUCAGGACGAACGCUGGCGGCGGGCCUAACACAUGCAAGUUGCAGGAGAAUCCCGACACUUCGGUGUUGGGAGGAGACUGGCGCACGGGUGAGUAACGCGUAGACAAUCUGCCUAUAACAGGGGGAUAACCACGGGAAACCGUGGCUAAUACCCCAUGAUGCAGCGGCCCCGCAUGGGGACAGUUGUUAAACUUUUCGGGGCAACCCGGAGGGGGUUAUAGAUGAGUCUGCGUGCCAUUAGUUAGUUGGUAGGGUAAUGGCCUACCAAGGCGAUGAUGGCUAGGGGGUCUGAGAGGAUGAUCCCCCACACUGGGACUGAGACACGGCCCAGACUCCUACGGGAGGCAGCAGUGAGGAAUCUUGCGCAAUGGGGGCAACCCUGACGCAGCCACGCCGCGUGCUGGAAGAAGGUCCUAUGGAUUGUAAACAGCUUUUAUUCGGGAAGAAAGUAUGGGUUUCGACUUGUAUUGACGGUACCGUUUGAAUAAGCACCGGCUAACUCCGUGCCAGCAGCCGCGGUAAUACGGAGGGUGCAAGCGUUGUCCGGAAUCAUUGGGUGUAAAGGGUGCGCAGGCGGGCAUCUAAGUCUAAGGUGAAAUCUUGCCGCUUAACGGUAAAAUGGCCUUGGAUACUGGGUGUCUUGAAUCUAGUAGAGGUUGGUGGAAUCCGUGGUGUAGCGGUGAAAUGCAUAGAUAUCACGAAGAACAUCAGUGGCGAAGGCGGCCAACUGGGCUAGUAUUGACGCUGAGGCACGAGAGCGUGGGGAGCGAACAGGAUUAGAUACCCUGGUAGUCCACGCCGUAAACGAUGUGUGCUAGUUGUUGGUCUUUACCGAUCAGUGACGCAGUUAACGCAGUAAGCACACCACCUGGGGAGUACGUUCGCAAGAAUGAAACUCAAAGGAAUUGACGGGGGCCCGCACAAGCGGUGGAGCAUGUGGCUUAAUUCGAUGCAACGCGAAGAACCUUACCUGGGCUAAAUCCGCCCUGACCGCUCCGGAAACGGGGUUUCCCUUCGGGGCAGGGUGGAAGGUGCUGCAUGGCUGUCGUCAGCUCGUGCCGUGAGGUGUUGCCUUAAGUGGCGCAACGAGCGCAACCCCUGUGGUUAGUUACCAGCACGUUAUGGUGGGGACUCUAGCCAGACUGCCUACGCAAGUAGUGAGGAAGGUGGGGAUGACGUCAAGUCAUCAUGGCCCUUACGUCCAGGGCUGCACACGUGCUACAAUGGAUGGUACAAUGGGAAGCCACCCGGCAACGGGGCGCAGAUCCAUAAAGCCAUUCUCAGUUCGGAUUGGAGUCUGCAACUCGACUCCAUGAAGGUGGAAUCGCUAGUAAUCGCGUAUCAGCAACGACGCGGUGAAUACGUUCCCGGGCCUUGUACACACCGCCCGUCAAGCGAUGGAAGUCAGGAGUACCUAAAGUCGCCAUGCAAGUGUUGCCUAGGGUAAGCCUGGUGACUGGCGCUAAGUCGUAACAAGGUAACC
rnacentral:rRNA from 1 species